UACGUAGGUGGCAAGCGUUGUCCGGAUUUACUGGGCGUAAAGAGCGCGCAGGCGGUCGAUCAAGUCGCGUGUGAAAGCCCCCGGCUCAACUGGGGAGGGUCAUUCGAUACUGAUCGACUCGAAGGCAGGAGAGGGUAGUGGAAUUCCCGGUGUAGUGGUGAAAUGCGUAGAUAUCGGGAGGAACACCAGUGGCGAAGGCGACUACCUGGCCUGUUCUGACGCUGAGGCGCGAAAGCUA
rnacentral:rRNA from 1 species